UACGUAGGGCGCAAGCGUUAUCCCGGAAUUAUUGGGCGUAAAGAGCUCGUAGGCGGUUUGUCGCGUCUGCCGUGAAAGUCCCGGGGCUCAACUCCGGAUCUGCGGUGGGUACGGGGCAGACUAGAGUGAUGUAGGGGAGACUGGAAUUCCUGGGUGUAGCGGUGAAAUGCGCAGAUAUCAGGAGGAACACCGGUGGCGAAGGCGGCUUUCUGGGACAGAUACCGACGUGAGGCACGAAAGCUAGGGGGAGCAAACAGG
rnacentral:rRNA from 1 species